UCUUCCGUAGUAUAGUGGUCAGUAUAUGAGCUUGUCAUUGGUCCCUGAGCAAUCAGGUCAAAUACUCGCUCGGGACCCGGGUUCAAUUCCCGGCGGGAGAG